GCUCACCCCAGCCGAGCCUCCGCCGCGGGGCGAGCCCCACAAGGGAGCGGGGGACGUUGGGGUCUGCUUGGGAAAGACGGGGAUUCCCUAACUCUUUAGAGUGCCCAGUCGUCCCCUCCCCCUGACCCUGCGGAGAGGUGACUACGGUUUAGGGCAACGAACCCCCUCCCGGAGCUAGAGGGCUCCUCCAGAGGUUAAGCCAGGGCAGUCAUUGGCGUCAAAACCGGCCUGUAGUUUCUUGAGGUGCAGGUGCCUGCAUUACUCCCAGAAAGUCGCCCUUCCUCCCCGGCCGUGCUCUGGUCCGGAGGACAAAGGUCUAGCGAUGUCCAUCCCCUCCCCCAGUGAGGACAGCAGGAAAAGACCCUCUGUUGUGUACAGCAUCUCAGGAUAUCUUCUUCAAUGCUUUAUUAUUAUCAUUAGUUUACCAAGGCAAGAAACCUCUGAAGGGUCAGAUGCAAUACUACUGGAUUAAUAAAAUAUGUACGACAAGAGAAAAAGGUUUUGAUUGAUUGUUACAUUA
rnacentral:lncRNA from 1 species